ACCCGUCUUGAAACACGGACCAAGGAGUCUAACAUGUGCGCGAGUCAUUGGGUUAUUGUUAAAAGCGAAUAAGCCUAAAGGCGCAAUGAAAGUGAAGGUCGACCUUAGCGUCGAUCGAGGGAGGAUGUCCCGGGCUCGCUCGGGUCCGCACUCCCGGGGCGUCUCACGGUCAUUUCGACCAGAGGCGCACCCAGAGCGUACACGUUGGGACCCGAAAGAUGGUGAACUAUGCCUGGUCAGGACGAAGUCAGGGGAAACCCUGAUGGAGGUCCGUAGCGAUUCUGACGUGCAAAUCGAUCGUCGGAACUGGGUAUAGGGGCGAAAGACUAAUCGAACCAUCUAGUAGCUGGUUCCCUCCGAAGUUUCCCUCAGGAUAGCUGGCACUCGCUCGAUAGCGAGUCUCAUCUGGUAAAGCGAAUGAUUAGAGGCCUUGGGGCCGAAACGACCUCAACCUAUUCUCAAACUUUAAAUGGGUGAGAUCUCUGGCUUGCUUGAACGUUGAAGCCAUGAGAUCGCGCCUCCUCUUUAUGACGGGGGCGCCUCACGGAUCAGAGUGCCAAGUGGGCCAAUUUUGGUAAGCAGAACUGGCGCUGUGGGA
rnacentral:rRNA from 1 species